UCCCUUGUAGCUCAGUCGGUAAAGAAUCUGCCUGCAGUGCAGGAAACCCUGGUUCGAUCCCUGGAUGGGAA
rnacentral:tRNA from 1 species